CCCGCGAUAGCUCAGUUGGUAGAGCGGAGGACUGUAGUGGUUUGACCAAUGGUCAUCCUUAGGUCGCUGGUUCAAAUCCGGCUCGCGGGA
rnacentral:tRNA from 1 species